rnacentral:rRNA from 1 species
UACGUAGGUCCUGAGCGUUGUCCGGAUUUAUUGGGCGUAAAGCGAGCGCAGGUGGUUUAUUAAGUCUGGUGUAAAAGGCAGUGGCUCAACCAUUGUAUGCAUUGGAAACUGGUAGACUUGAGUGCAGGAGAGGAGAGUGGACUUCCAUGUGUAGCGGUGAAAUGCGUAGAUAUAUGGAGGAACACCGGUGGCGAAAGCGGCUCUCUGGCCUGUAACUGACACUGAGGCUCGAAAGCGUGGGGAGCAAACAGG